rnacentral:misc_RNA from 1 species
UUGACGAUUGACUCAUGUUGCCUCGGCGGGUCCUCCCGCCAGAGGAUACAUCAAAACUCCUGUUUUAACGGUGUUGUCUGAGCUACAAGCAACGAAUCAAAACUUUCAACAACGGAUCUCUUGGUUCUGGCAUCGAUGAAGAACGCAGCGAAAUGCGAUAAGUAGUGUGAAUUGCAGAAUUCAGUGAAUCAUCGAAUCUUUGAACGCACAUUGCGCCCCUUGGUAUCCCGAGGGGCAUGCCUGUUCGAGCGUCAUUUCACCACUCAAGCCUGGCUUGGUGUUGGGCGACGUCCCCCUUUAGGGACGCGCCUCGAAACGCUCGGCGGCGUGGCACCGGCUUUAAGCGUAGCAGAAUCUUUCGCUUUGAAAGUCGGGGCCCCGUCUGCCGGAAGACCUACUCACAAGGUUGACCUCGGAUCAGGUAGGGAUACCCGCUGAACUUAA